rnacentral:rRNA from 1 species
UUCGAUUCUGGCUCAGGAUGAACGCUAGCGACAGGCCUAACACAUGCAAGUCGAGGGGCAGCGCGGAGUAGCAAUACUUGGCGGCGACCGGCGCACGGGUGAGUAACACGUAUGCAACCAACCCAGUAACAGGGGGAUAACCCGGAGAAAUCCGGACUAAUACCGCAUAAGACCACGAUAUCGCAUGAUAUAGAGGUCAAAUAUUUAUAGGUUAUGGACGGGCAUGCGUCUGAUUAGCUGGUUGGCGGGGUAACGGCCCACCAAGGCAUCGAUCAGUAGGGGUUCUGAGAGGAAGGUCCCCCACAUUGGAACUGAGACACGGUCCAAACUCCUACGGGAGGCAGCAGUGAGGAAUAUUGGUCAAUGGGCGAAAGCCUGAACCAGCCAUGUCGCGUGAAGGAAUGAAGGUCCUGUGGAUUGUAAACUUCUUUUGCAGGAGGGUAAAGUGAGCUACGUGUAGUUCAUUGCAAGUACCCUGCGAAUAAGCAUCGGCUAACUCCGUGCCAGCCGCUGC